AUUGAACGCUGGCGGCAGGCCUAACACAUGCAAGUCGAGCGGAGCGGCGGACGGGUGAGUAAUGCCUAGGAAUCUGCCUGGUAGUGGGGGAUAACGUCCGGAAACGGGCGCUAAUACCGAAUACAAACAGAUGAGCAUAGGUCGGAUUGGCUAGUUGGUGGGGUAAAGGCCUAACAAGGCGACGAUCCGUAGCUGGUCUGAGAGGAUGAUCAGUCAAACUGGCACUGAGACACGGUCCAGACUCCGACGGGAGUCAGCAGUGGGGAAUAUUGGGCAAUGGGCGCAAGCCUGAUCCAGCCAUGCCGCGUGUGUGAAGCAGGUCUUCGGGUUGUAAAGUUCUUUAAGUUGGGAGGCGUUACCUACAGAAUAAGCACCGGCUAACUUCGUGCCAGCAGCCGCGGUAAUUC
rnacentral:rRNA from 1 species